CCUACGGGAGGCAGCAGUGAGGAAUAUUGGUCAAUGGACGAGAGUCUGAACCAGCCAAGUAGCGUGAAGGAUGACUGCCCUAUGGGUUGUAAACUUCUUUUAUAAAGGAAUAAAACGAGGCACGUGUGCCUUUUUGCAUGUACUUUAUGAAUAAGGAUCGGCUAACUCCGUGCCAGCAGCCGCGGUAAUACGGAGGAUCCGAGCGUUAUCCGGAUUUAUUGGGUUUAAAGGGAGCGUAGAUGGGUUGUUAAGUCAGUUGUGAAAGUUUGCGGCGCAACCGUAAAAUUGCCAUUGAUACUGGCAGUCGUGAGUACAGUUGAGGUAGGCGGAAUUCGUGGUGUAGCGGUGAAAUGCUUAGAUAUCACGAAGAACCCCGAUUGCGAAGGCAGCUUACUAAGCUGUGACUGACAUUGAUGCACGAAAGUGUGGGUAUCAAACAGGAUUAGAUACCCUUGUAGUC
rnacentral:rRNA from 1 species